rnacentral:lncRNA from 1 species
UAUGUUAAAGGGUCUAGGAUUUAGGCUAGGAUGCAAAUGGAUCCGGGUUGGUAGAGCUCCCACCUCGAUCAGCACUAAAUCGGACAGUAAGUGGGAAUAAAUAAUAUAGAAAAAUAUAAUCCAUUCCGAAUCCGUCCUGAUUUGCCAAAUAAAUGGAGCAGGAGAUCCUUUUAUUCUUUCAAUUCGUCUCGAUCUGUCAAAAAUCCGCCAAAAAUUCACUCCCGUCCCGAUCUAUUCUGAAUGGGCUGGUAAGUAGGAGCCAAAAAUAAAAUAAAAAAUAACUUGUCCCGAAUACGAUCCGCCUCGACAAGAAUGGAAUGGGAGGUGGGGG